rnacentral:rRNA from 1 species
UACGUAGGGUGCAAGCGUUGUCCGGAAUUAUUGGGCGUAAAGAGCUCGUAGGCGGUCUGUCGCGUCUGCUGUGAAAACUCAGGGCUUAACCCUGAGCUUGCAGUGGGUACGGGCAGACUAGAGUGCGGUAGGGGAGACUGGAAUUCCUGGUGUAGCGGUGAAAUGCGCAGAUAUCAGGAGGAACACCGGAGGCGAAGGCGGCUUGCUGGGCUCGGUCUGACGCUGAGGCGCGAAAGCGUGGGGAGCGAACAGG